CUAAGUUGUCGGGUCCUGGGAGAUAUUCUGCCCGAAUGGACAGAUUCCUGUCUAAUCAGAACUGAUACAGAUCCUUGGUGAGGUCUGACAGUAGUUUCGAUUUGGACCCUCCGAGUCGGUUUACAUACCGUACUGCGGAGAUGUUGUCCAUCCGAAGUACCAGAGAGCAGUUGGAGACUUCCUUGGCAAAGCUGCGGAUCGCGAAGGAUCCGGCAAUGAGCUCGAGACAAUUUAUGUGAAGUGCCUGUUCUGAU